rnacentral:rRNA from 1 species
ACGAACGCUGGCGGCGUGCUUCACACAUGCCAGUCGAACGGAAAGGCCCUGCUUUUGUGGGGUGCUCGAGUGGCGAACGGGUGAGUAACACGUGAGUAACCUGCCCUUGACUUUGGGAUAACUUCGGGAAACUGGGGCUAAUACCGGAUAGGAGCUCCUGCUGCAUGGUGGGGGUUGGAAAGUUUCGGCGGUUGGGGAUGGACUCGCGGCUUAUCAGCUUGUUGGUGGGGUAGUGGCUUACCAAGGCUUUGACGGGUAGCCGGCCUGAGAGGGUGACCGGCCACAUUGGGACUGAGAUACGGCCCAGACUCCUACGGGAGGCAGCAGUGGGGAAUAUUGCACAAUGGGCGGAAGCCUGAUGCAGCAACGCCGCGUGCGGGAUGACGGCCUUCGGGUUGUAAACCGCUUUCGCCUGUGACGAAGCGUGAGUGACGGUAAUGGGUAAAGAAGCACCGGCUAACUACGUG